rnacentral:rRNA from 1 species
UACAGAGGGUGCGAGCGUUGUCCGGAAUUACUGGGCGUAAAGCGCACGCAGGCGGUCUGUUAAGUCAGAUGUGAAAUCCCCGGGCUUAACCUGGGAACUGCAUUUGAAACUGGCAGGCUUGAGUCUCGUAGAGGGGGGUAGAAUUCCAGGUGUAGCGGUGAAAUGCGUAGAGAUCUGGAGGAAUACCGGUGGCGAAGGCGGCCCCCUGGACGAAGACUGACGCUCAGGUGCGAAAGCGUGGGGAGCAAACAGG